CGCACCGUAAACGAUGAGCACUAGGUGUCGGGGUCGCAAGACUUCGGUGCCGCAGUUAACGCAUUAAGUGCUCCGCCUGGGGAGUACGUACGCAAGUAUAAAACUCAAAGGAAUUGACGGGGACCCGCACAAGCAGCGGAGCAUGUGGUUUAAUUCGAAGCAACGCGAAGAACCUUACCAGGACUUGACAUCCCUCUGACAGCCUUGAUAACGAAAGGCCUUCUUCGGACAGAGGAGACAGGUGG
rnacentral:rRNA from 1 species